GGCGAACGGGUGAGUAAGACGUGAGUAACCUGCCCUUGACUCUGGGAUAAGCACUGGAAACGGUGUCUAAUACCGGAUACGAGCUUCAGCCGCAUGGCUAGGAGCUGGAAAGAAUUUCGGUCAAGGAUGGACUCGCGGCCUAUCAGCUAGUUGGUGAGGUAAUGGCCCACCAAGGCGACGACGGGUAGCCGGCCUGAGAGGGUGACCGGCCACACUGGGACUGAGACACGGCCCAGACUCCUACGGGAGGCAGCAGUGGGGAAUAUUGCACAAUGGGCGCAAGCCUGAUGCAGCAACGCCGCGUGAGGGACGACGGCCUUCGGGUUGUAAACCUCUUUUAGUAGGGAAGAAGCGAAAGUGACGGUACCUGCAGAAAAAGCACCGGCUAACUACGUGCCAGCAGCCGCGGUAAUACGUAGGGUGCAAGCGUUAUCCGGAAUUAUUGGGCGUAAAGAGCUCGUAGGCGGUUUGUCGCGUCUGCUGUGAAAACUGGAGGCUCAACCUCCAGCCUGCAGUGGGUACGGGCAGACUAGAGUGCGGUAGGGGAGAUUGGAAUUCCUGGUGUAGCGGUGGAAUGCGCAGAUAUCAGGAGGAACACCAAUGGCGAAGGCAGAUCUCUGGGCCGUAACUGACGCUGAGGAGCGAAAGCAUGGGGAGCGAACAGGAUUAGAUACCCUGGUAGUCCAUGCCGUAAACGUUGGGAACUAGAUGUAGGGACCAUUCCACGGUUUCUGUGUCGCACCUAACGCAUUAAGUUCCCCGCCUGGGGAGUACGGCCGCAAGGCUAAAACUCAAAGGAAUUGACGGGGGCCCGCACAAGCGGCGGAGCAUGCGGAUUAAUUCGAUGCAACGCGAAGAACCUUACCAAGACUUGACAUAUACCAGAACGGGCUAGAAAUAGUCAACUCUUUGGACACUCGUAAACAGGUGGUGCAUGGUUGUCGUCAGCUCCUGUCGUGAAAUGUUGGGUUAAGUCCCGCAACGAGCGCACCCUCGUUCUUUUUGCCGCACGUAAUGGUGGAACUCAAGGAAACUGCCGGGUCACUCGGAGAAAAGGUGGGGAUGACUUCAAUCAUCAUCCCCUUAUGUCUGGGCUUCCCCAGCUACAUGGCCGUACAAGGCUGCA
rnacentral:rRNA from 1 species